rnacentral:rRNA from 1 species
UACGUAGGGGGCAAGCGUUGUCCGGAUUUAUUGGGCGUAAAGAGCGUGUAGGCGGCUAGGUAGGUCCGUUGUGAAAACUCGAGGCUCAACCUCGAGACGCCGAUGGAAACCGUCUGGCUAGAGUCCGGAAGAGGAGAGUGGAAUUCCUGGUGUAGCGGUGAAAUGCGCAGAUAUCAGGAAGAACACCCGUGGCUAAGGCGGCUCUCUAGUACGGUACUGACGCUGAGACGCGAAAGCGUGGGGAGCGAACAGG